rnacentral:rRNA from 1 species
GUGGGGAAUAUUGGACAAUGGGCGAAAGCCUGAUCCAGCAAUGCCGCGUGAGUGAUGAAGGCCUUAGGGUUGUAAAGCUCUUUUACCCGGGAUGAUAAUGACAGUACCGGGAGAAUAAGCUCCGGCUAACUCCGUGCCAGCAGCCGCGGUAAUACGGAGGGAGCUAGCGUGGUUCGGAAUUACUGGGCGUAAAGCGCACGUAGGCGGCUUUGUAAGUUAGAGGUGAAAGCCUGGAGCUUAACUCCAGAACUGCCUUUAAGACUGCAUCGCUUGAAUCCAGGAGAGGUGAGUGGAAUUCCGAGUGUAGAGGUGAAAUUCGUAGAUAUUCGGAAGAACACCAGUGGCGAAGGCGGCUCACUGGACUGGUAUUGACGCUGAGGUGCGAAAGCGUGGGGAGCAAACAGGAUUAGAAACCCUGGUAGUCC